GUGCAGCAGGCGAGAAUCCUUCGCAAUGCAGGAAACUGCGACGAGGGAACUCCAAGUGCCUACGCUCAGCGUAGGCUGUUCUCAAGCCUAGAAAGCUUGAGGAGUAAGGGCUGGGUAAGACGGGUGCCAUCUGUGGUAGCAGUCAAUAGAUUCGAUUUGUUACUGCAAGGCAUAAGCCGCCGCGGUAAUACCCGCAGCCCAAGUGUGGCCGCUUUUAUGGGCCUAAAGCGUCCGUAGCCGGCCCGGUAAAUGCCUGGGUAAAUCGUGGAGCCCCAACUUCACGAAUUCCGGGUAGACUGCCGAGCUCGGGACCGGAAGAGGGAGAGGGGUACUUCGAGGGGUAGGGGUGAAAAUUUCCUCGUCCAUUUAACGCUUUUGGCGCGAAG
rnacentral:rRNA from 1 species